rnacentral:rRNA from 1 species
CACGGGGAAACUCACCAGGUCCAGACACAUUAAGGAUUGACAGAUUGAGAGCUCUUUCUUGAUUAUGUGGGUGGUGGUGCAUGGCCGUUCUUAGUUGGUGGAGUGAUUUGUCUGCUUAAUUGCGAUAACGAACGAGACCUUAACCUGCUAAAUAGCCAGGCUAGCUUUUGCUGGUCGCCGGCUUCUUAGAGGGACUAUCGGCUCAAGCCGAUGGAAGUUUGAGGCAAUAACAGGUCUGUGAUGCCCUUAGAUGUUCUGGGCCGCACGCGCGCUACACUGACAGAGCCAGCGAGUAUAAACCUUAACCGAGAGGUUUGGGUAAUCUUGUUAAACUCUGUCGUGCUGGGGAUAGGGCAUUGCAAUUAUUGCCCUUCAACGAGGAAUAUCUAGUAAGCGCAAGUCAUCAGCUUGCGUUGAUUACGUCCCUGCCCUUUGUACACACCGCCCGUCGCUACUACCGAUUGAAUGGCUCAGUGAGGCCUUCGGACUGGCUCCAGGAG